UACAGAGGAGCCAAGCGUUGUCCGGAUUGACUGGGCGUAAAGCGCACGCAGGCGGGGGGGCGCGUGGGGGGUGAAAUCUGGCCGCUUAACGGCCAGGCGCCAUCCCAUACGGCGCGCCUGGAGCCUUGCAGAGGUCGGUGGAAUUGCCGGUGUAGUGGUGAAAUGCGUAGAGAUCGGCAGGAACACCCAGGGGGAAACCAGCCGACUGGGCAAGUGCUGACGCCGAGGUGCGAGAGCGUGGGGAGCGAACCGG
rnacentral:rRNA from 1 species